GCGUCUGCGCAGGCCCGGGCGCUCGCUGGCGGGGCUUUCCGCAGCUCUGGGAUCACAGCUGGACGUCGGAAGUGCUAGCUUGGAGUACGCCCUUCGAGGAUGCAAGUAGCAGCCCCAGUGAACCAAAAAUGUCCCCAGACUUUGCCAAAUAUCCUCCCCCUCGGGGAAGAUCGCCUCGCUUGAGAACCACUGUUGGAGGAGAGCCUGGGUUUUCGGGAGGUGACCGUUUACAAAGGGGAGGACGGUAAGAAGCCGGAAGCAAUGAUGUGUUAGCUACGUGAACGACUUGUGGCCGGGCUGGCCCCUCUUCUGGAAGCCGUCAGUUUGGGUCUCGCGUCUGGGAUCGCCGUCGAGGAGUCAGAUCCAGCCCCAGAGAGGGAGCAGGGUCGAGGUGUCGUUGCAGAAGGCGCCACCGGAGGAAGCACAGGGGCAACGUGCGGUCUUCCUAGCGGAGGCACUCGCGAUCCUGCAGCCGCCGGUCCGGGAGGUGCUCGGUACCCCUCCGUGGUGCCUGUCCGGUAGCUGGUCACUCUCGGGGGAAGGUCGUGCUACAGAAGGGCAUUAUGCGAUCACACAGAGACGGCGUUGCUGCGGCUUUGACCCUAUGGUGCACCCGAAAGAACACAGAGGGUGGAGGGAGAGAUCCAGGAAGAGGUCCCGGAGCAGAACCUCCUUUCACUUAAGUUAAAAAGAUAAAAUGGAGCUGCUAGAAAUAGCAAAAGCCAGCCCAGCUAAAUCUUUAGGAAUAGCCAACCCUGACUUGCCAGAUGGUCUCAGAACUGUUCCUAUCGUUAAAGAAACAAACUGUGCAACAGCUGUACUAUAUGCCACAAAGUUCGAGCUCUCACACUUUGGAUGUGCUCCUCUAAUCCUUUCUGAAAGAGCUAAGCUGACCCCCACCACCGUUGGAGGAAACUCCUGGAGCAGUGCUGGGGUUUUCACUGCAAUCAGUUGCUCCAAGUUCGUCUUGUAUAUGGCUCUUCGACCUUGGGCUUGUGGAUUAGGGGCCUGUGGAGGAGCUCUGUGACUGCUCUGAUUUCUGUGGAUAGUUCUGAGGCAUUGUAUUUAGUGAAAAAACUGGAAACCAUAUGCAUGUCCAUGAAUAAAAAAAAGGGGGACAGGCCGGGCACCGUGGCUCGCACCUGUAAUUCCAGCACUUUGGGAGGCUGAGGUGUGCAGAUCACCUGAGGUUGGGAGUUCGAGACCAGCCUGACCAACAUGGAGAAACCCCGUCUCUACUAAAAAUACAAAAUUAGCCGGUUGUGGUCACGCAUGUCUGUAAUCCCAGCUACUCAGGAGGCUGAGGCAGAAAAAUUGCUUGAACCCGGGAGGCAGAGGUUGCAGUGAGCCAAGAUCGUGCAGCCUGGGCAAUAAGAGCGAAACUCCAUCUCAAAAACAACCAACCAACCAAAAAAGCAGGGGUAGACUAAUUUCUAGUACUUCUAGACUAUGGAAUAUGAUACAGCUGAUAAACCAAAACACAUUAGAUCGAUAUGAUUUAUCCUAAAGGAUGUUGAUUAUAAGUUUCAACUUGUUUAGAAUGAGCCCAUAUUCAUCAAAAAUUCUGUAUGCACCAGAUGCAGUGGCUCACGCCUGUAAUCCCAGCAGUUUGGGAAGCUGAAGUGGGCAGAUCCCCUGAAGUCAAGAGGUUGAGACCAGCCUGGCCAACAUGGUAAAACCCCGUCUUGUGGAGGAAAAGUUAAAUAUUAAAUUUGAACUCAACUGGACUUGAACACAAGGAAUUGUUACAUGCCAGAAAUCUGUCCCUGGGCACUGGCUCAGGAACAGAUGGACUAUACUGAUUGUUCUUGAUACAUACAUCAUCUGCCUCGAGGCGAUAAACAAAACCUUGAAAAUAGGCUGACCUUUCCGUGUUCCUUGAGUCCAGUGACAAAAGGCCUUGUGCCUGGGCCUCAUGCCAAAGAGAAUACUAUAAAAAGGUCAGGCCGGGUGUGGUGGCUCACGCCUGUAAUCCCAGCAUUUUGGGAGGCCAAGGUGGGCAGAUCACCUGAGGUCAGAGGUUCGAGACCAGCCUGGACAACAUGGUGAUACCCCAUCUCUACUAAAAAUACCAAAAAUUAGCUGGGCAUAGUGGCAGGCGCCUGUAAUCCCAGCUACUCAGGAGGCUGAGACAGGAGAAUCCCUUGAACCUGGGAGGCGGAGGUUGCAGUGCAUGCUAUUGUACUCCAGCCUGGGCAACAAGAGUGAAACUCCGUCUCAAAAAAAAAAAAAAAAGGUCAGGGUCCCAGACUAUGCUGAAGCUGCAUGAGACCUCUCCUCCUCUGUGCGUGGACCAGUGGCCGACUCUGGAACCCAGGCUGUUGCUUCCCGGCCUGGUGAUGAAUCCUCCAUCAUAUGGUGAGUGUAUAUACGCUGAUUGUUUUGUUUUGUUUUUUUUUUCUCACUGCUGUUUGCUCAAUGCACCUUCUCUUUUAUACUUAAAUAAACCUAGAGUACUUUACAAUCUGCA
ensembl:lncRNA